rnacentral:lncRNA from 1 species
GAGGAUAUAUCAUCACAUCAAGUGUGAAGACAGAUGUUUGGCCACCCUACCCGUGAGAAGUGUGGGGUGGGGAGCACAGGGCCAUAGCUGCCAUUUCUGUGCCGAAAUAAACCUGCCACAUAAAAGGAAAAGGGUUCCUGAGCUUGAUUAAGACCUAAAAGUAGAGAUUUUUCCUGUUCCGUGCAAUUAUGAGGAGUUUCUCAGCAACACUCAGGAAUACCAAUGAGCAGCUCUAUGGUAACCAAGGAGACAAAUCCACCAGCAAAAGCUUAACCAGGAAUCUUCCAGGACCAGACUCCCUCCCACAACUAAUCUCCACCAGAAAGUGCCAGAGAACAGCAUGACCUGACUCUUAACUCAGAUGACUCUACAUGGGAGUCUGACGCCCCCAAACUCCUCAUGAACCUGAGAAAGUUCAGACUUUCUAGAUGCUUCUUAGAGAGAAGAAUGAUCAGUCACUGUGAUGCCGACCCUAGCUGGGAGCUACAGCGUUGCCAGGAAACAUCCAGCUCGUUGAAAUUAUUGCCUUCCCAGCAGAGUAUAUUUUACAUAAAAUAUGCCCCAAAUAA